rnacentral:rRNA from 1 species
ACGAACGCUGGCGGCGUGCUUAACACAUGCAAGUCGAACGGUGAUGCUCCAGCUUGCUGGAGUGGAUCAGUGGCGAACGGGUGAGUAACACGUUAGCAACCUGCCCCAGACUCUGGAAUAAGCGCUGGAAACGGCGUCUAAUACUGGAUACGAAACUGGCCCGCAUGGGCAUGGUUUGGAAAGUUUUUCGGUUUGGGAUGGGCUCGCGGCCUAUCAGCUUGUUGGUGAGGUAAUGGCUCACCAAGGCGACGACGGGUAGCCGGCCUGAGAGGGCGACCGGCCACACUGGGACUGAGACACGGCCCAGACUCCUACGGGAGGCAGCAGUGGGGAAUAUUGCACAAUGGGCGAAAGCCUGAUGCAGCGACGCCGCGUGAGGGAUGACGGCCUUCGGGUUGUAAACCUCUUUCAGCAGGGAAGAAGCGAAAGUGACGGUACCUGCAGAAGAAGCACCGGCUAACUACGUG